UACGUAGGGGCCGAGCGUUGUCCGGAGUUAUUGGGCGUAAAGCGCGCGCAGGCGGCCUCGCGCGCCCGACGUGAAAGCCCCCGGCUUAACCGGGGAGGGUCGUUGGGGACGGCGGGGCUUGAGGGCGGGAGAGGUCGGUGGAAUUCCCGGUGUAGUGGUGAAAUGCGUAGAGAUCGGGAGGAACACCUGUGGCGAAGGCGGCCGACUGGGCCGAAACUGACGCUGAGGCGCGAAGGCGUGGGGAGCGAACGGG
rnacentral:rRNA from 1 species